rnacentral:rRNA from 1 species
UACGUAGGGGGCAAGCGUUGUCCGGAAUCACUGGGCGUAAAGGGCGCGUAGGCGGUUCGUUAAGUUGCUGGUGAAAUCCCGGGGCUCAACUCCGGGGCUGCCGGCAAGACUGGCGGGCUAGAGCACGGUAGAGGCGGAUGGAAUUCCCGGUGUAGCGGUGGAAUGCGUAGAUAUCGGGAAGAAUACCGGUGGCGAAGGCGUUCCGCUGGGCCGUUGCUGACGCUGAGGCGCGACAGCGUGGGGAGCAAACAGG